rnacentral:rRNA from 1 species
GCCAGACUCCUACGGGAGGCAGCAGUGGGGAAUAUUGCACAAUGGGGGGAACCCUGAUGCAGCGACGCCGCGUGGGUGAAGGAGCACCUCGGUGCGUAAAGCCCUAUCGGCAGGGAAGAAACAGACGGUACCUGACUAAGAAGCCCCGGCUAACUACGUGCCAGCAGCCGCGGUAAUACGUAGGGGGCAAGCGUUAUCCGGAUUCACUGGGUGUAAAGGGAGCGUAGACGGCGACGCAAGUCUGGGGUGAAAGCCCGCGGCCCAACCGCGGGACUGCAUUGGGAACUACCGGGCUGGAGUGCCGGAGAGGUAGGCGGAAUUCCUAGUGUAGCGGUGAAAUGCGUAGAUAUCAGGAGGAACACCGGUGGCGAAGGCGGCCUGCUGGACUGCAACUGACGUUGAGGCCCGAAAGCGUGGGGAGCGAACAGGAUUAGAUACCCGUGUA